rnacentral:misc_RNA from 1 species
AUUCUUGUCCCUGAAGGGAUGAAAUUGCGAGAAGGUAAAUGGAGAAAUAGAUACCAGGCGAAUCGUCAAUGCCAAUACGCGGACAGAUUCGAGGAAUGUGAAGGGAAAUCAAUAUAGCUCAAACUUCUCUGACUCAGUGACACAGAAUAUCAGUUCUAUCGGUUUACGUGGAAAAUAGCUAACGAGCGCAAGCUAAUAUUACAUUAAAAGAAAGCUCCAAGUUUCACCAAGAAUAUUUAAAUUCUAUGGUUGAGCUUCAAAGUUCUUCAUCAAUGAAGAAAGCCGUAGUUUAUCUAAAAGAAAGGGAUGAGAGAUGCAGGGUUGCAUGUACCAAUUGCAACUUUUAAAAGUUCCUCGAGAAGGAUGAUCUUCGAGUUCGC